rnacentral:rRNA from 1 species
ACGGAGGGUGCGAGCGUUAUCCGGAUUUAUUGGGUUUAAAGGGCGCGUAGGUUGACGGUUAAGUCAGCGGUGAAAUCCCGGAGCUCAACUCCGGCACUGCCGUUGAAACUGGUCGUCUUGAGUGUGAACGAGGUAGGCGGAAUUCGUAGUGUAGCGGUGAAAUGCAUAGAUAUUACGAAGAACUCCGAUAGCGCAGGCAGCUUACCAGGCCACAACUGACACUGAAGCGCGAAAGUGUGGGUAUCAAACAG